CGCGACGACAAGGUACAACGAAAUGGCGACUAGAAAAAAUGAGACACGAGGUUAAAUGCAAGGGGUAAUUAGGGUGAACGAGGCACAGGUGGUGAAGAUGCUAUCAGGAGCAGGAACAAGCUGCACACACAGUGAUGCCGGCUGAAGUCCGAUGUUGUUCCCACCAUUGCAGUGACUUGGAGACCGCAGAAUUUGCAUACCGCAAGAGUGUUUUCUUUUGCAUGUUGUUUCCGUCUUUGUGGUUGAGGAAGCUAAAUUUAAUUACAGUCACAAUACCGCAAAGGUUAAUGAAGUUGAAGUGCUGGUCUCGACCAGUCUCAAUGGAAAAUCCCCACAAGACGAAGACUUUUAGGAGUCAUCUGAGACUUUCAAAAAUUCUUGGUCUCAAGAUCAGGCUCAAGAUCAAUCUCGAGAGUCACAAAACAACAGACAUGGAGGAACACUUUAUCCCAUCUUUCUCUGUUAAUUUUUUGUUUCAGGAGUUAUUGUCAAAUGUAUUAAUCAAUUUUAAUUUUGUGUCAAGCUCAUGCAAAAAAACUAAUUACAAAACCUCUGUUUUGUAAUUAGCCGUGUACCACAGUGUGAUGUGGAUGAUGAUGUCAAUAACAAACUUACACUCUCUGUUAUAAAAACAUU